rnacentral:rRNA from 1 species
UACGUAGGGGGCAAGCGUUGUCCGGAUUCAUUGGGCGUAAAGAGCGUGUAGGCGGCCAGGUAGGUCGGUUGUGAAAACUGGAGGCUCAACCUUCAGAGGUCGACCGAAACCAUCUGGCUAGAGUCCGGGAGAGGAGAGUGGAAUUCCCGGUGUAGCGGUGAAAUGCGUAGAGAUCGGGAAGAACAUCGGUGGCGAAGGCGCUCUACUGGACCACAACUGACACUCAGGGACGAAAGCUAGGGGAGCGAAUGGG